UGCGUAGGCGGAUCAAUAAGUCAGUGGUGAAAUCUCUCGGCUCAACCGGGAAACUGCCAUUGAUACUGUUGAUCUUGAGUUCGGUUGAGGUAGGCGGAAUGUGUAAUGUAGCGGUGAAAUGCUUAGAUAUUACACAGAACACCAAUUGCGUAGGCAGCUUACUAGACCGACACUGACGCUGAGGCACGAAAGCGUGGGGAGCGAACAGGAUUAGAUACCCUGGUAGUC
rnacentral:rRNA from 1 species